UACGUAGGGUGCAAGCGUUGUCCGGAAUUAUUGGGCGUAAAGCGCUCGUAGGCGGCUUGUCGCGUCGACCGUGAAAACUCGCAGCUCAACUGCGAGCCUGCGGUCGAUACGGGCAGGCUAGAGUUCGGUAGGGGAGACUGGAAUUCCUGGUGUAGCGGUGAAAUGCGCAGAUAUCAGGAGGAACACCGAUGGCGAAGGCAGGUCUCUGGGCCGAUACUGACGCUGAGGAGCGAAAGCGUGGGGAGCGAACAGG
rnacentral:rRNA from 1 species